UUAAAAAAAACGGCGUAUGUUAUUUCUGUGUGAAAGACAUGGGUAGUGAGAUGCUGUACUUGUGUACCUCACUACCGUGUCUUUUGCAUGGAGAUGACACAAGAUACAGGCUGCCUUG
rnacentral:precursor_RNA from 9 species